CCUUCUGGCUUACUCCUCUCCUGGGCAUGAGACAUGGCCAUUCCUAGGACACAGCUGUGUGGAGGAAGGUGGUCAGACACCCAGGGGAGAUCCCUGGGCUCCUCGAGGUCAAGGCGAAGAGUAUUUGCUGAGCGAACACCGGUGGCCUCCUUGCAGCCUCCUAGAACUGGUGGGAGGGGAAGAUGGAAGAGACGAGCCUGAGAAAAAGGAGGGGGGAUGAGAAGUCGAUCCAGAGCAGCGAACCCAAGACCACGAGUCUCCAAAAGGAGCUGGGCCUGUUCAGUGGCACCUGCAUCAUCGUGGGCACCAUCAUCGGCUCUGGGAUCUUCAUCUCCCCCAAGUCUGUGCUCAGCAACAUGGAAGCCGUGGGACCCUGUCUCAUCAUAUGGGCCAU